rnacentral:sRNA from 1 species
AAUUUUUUAACUAUUCAAAAAUCUUAACUAAAAAUAUGGUUCACAUUUGAGAAGAAAGGACGAGUUGUAAUGAAUUUCACAAUGACGGCAAAUAAACCGACAAUCGAAUACAGCAUAUUAGUGAUUUUAUUACGCUCAGAAGGACUCGAACAACAGUAAGCUUCAUUUUACUGUAUGGUUUAAGUCCUAUUUCUACUUGAAUGGGACUCGAAGC